UACGUAGGUGACAAGCGUUGUCCGGAUUUACUGGGCGUAAAGAGCGCGCAGGCGGUCGUUCAAGUCGAGUGUGAAAGCCCCCGGCUCAACUGGGGAGGGUCACUCGAUACUGAUCGACUCGAAGGCAGGAGAGGGUAGUGGAAUUCCUGGUGUAGCGGUGAAAUGCGCAGAUAUCAGGAGGAACACCGAUGGCGAAGGCAGGUCUCUGGGCCGAUACUGACGCUGAGGAGCGAAAGCGUGGGGAGCGAACAGG
rnacentral:rRNA from 1 species